CAUCUCAUCUCUCUCUCUCUCUCUCUCUCUCUCUCUCUCUCUCUAUUUUCGCAACAAUGGCGGAGGAGGAGCGUGGUCUCCAUGCGACCCCUCGCCUCGUCCACCUCAUCGCGCGUCCGCAUACGACGCCGACUAUGAGGCAACAAGCUACUGCUAUGAACCCUAGUAUCCUCGGUGGGUGCGGUGGCCGGAGGGCCUAGCGCCGCCGCGGCGCACCGGGAGGGGUUUGAAGCCAAAUCCUAGACCUGGUCCACCGCGCCAUCCGUGGACCGAGCCAAUCGGAUCGCAUCCUGUGGAAAUUGUAUGUAAGCGUUGCACUAUUCUUUCUUUUCCUCAUCACAAUGAACAUAUCCUUCAAAAAUUUUCAUUCAUUUUCUUUUUUCCCCAAUGGAUCAUGAAAAAAGAAAGGGUAAACUUCAAAUUGCCCCCCGUGUUUUAGCUCAUUUUUACUUUGCCACUCCGUGAUUCCAAAAGUUUUACUCUUUUUUGCUCCCCUGUGGUUUAUAGCUCAUUUUCCAUUUAGGGUCCGUUUGGUUCAACGUAAAACUGUGAAAGAUAAUUUUCGGUGGAAAAGAAAUUUCGAUGGAAAAAAAAACGCUCUUUAACGUUUUAUUUGUAGGGGAAAAAAGGAGCUUUCCAAUGCUUGUUUGAUUGAAAGAAAAAAUUUGAAUGAAAAAUAAUUUUAAAUAUUUUUGUUCUGUUAUAUUAUGUAUCAUUAUUUAUAUAAAUAAUUAUCAUAUUAUAUUUAUAUAAUUAAUAUUUAUAUCUAUAUAUAUUAGUAUAAUCAUCAUCAUCAUCAUCAUCUAUAUGUAUUCCAGCCUAGUUCUAUAAUAUAUAAUAACAUGGAUAUAAUAUAUAAAUAUGAGGCCCGCUACAGUGCUAUCAAUAGCACCAAACACUUGAUGUUACCAAAUUUUUCUCCAUUAGAUCUAUCCCUUCGACUAGUUCCACUCCUUAGAUCAUAUUGUUCUACCAACCACUCACUAAACUCUAGAGGGAUCACUGUCAUUAUAACCGCACAUCCUUCAUCGAAGAGCCGAAAAACUGAUAGUACCUAUAACUUGGUGCUAUUAAUAGUAUUCUUGCCUAGUUCUAUAUAUAUAUAUAUAUAUAUAUAUAUAUAUAUAAAGAGGGUAAGAGACCAUCAUCCUCCAGAGAGUUUUCGUUCUCCGCCGAAAAACAGCGGAAAACGGAAACUUCAAAUUUUCCAUUUACGGCUCAAUUCUCUCUCUACUGAUGUUGGCAUGGCAGCUGGGUGGCCUGCUGUUGGGCAGGCUUGCUGCAGCUACACAGUCGUUACGAGAGUGGAAUCUCUGUUGAUCUUUUCAUCUCUCUACCUUUAACAUCUUUCUCACUUGCUGUUCUUUUUUCUGUUUUAUUUGGGGGGUUUCAGUUUGAUUUAUUGCAUAUAUUUUUUCUUAAAAUUUUGAUUUUGACUUUUCAACUCAAAUUGUUGGAUGAACAAUUUAGUAUUUGAAUCAUACUUUCCCUAUUUUUUGGAGCUUUUUGAGUAUCAAUAAAUCAAUUCUGUUGGAUAAAUUUCUUCUUCACUAUUUAUUUGGUGAGGGAAAAGGGAUGGCAUUACUUUGAGCGUUGCUUUUGUUCUACAUCGUUGAACUUACGAACAUGCCACAUCGGCCAUUAAAAUAGUCAUUUUGUCCAGGUAAUCUGAGCAUUGCUUUUGUUUUCUUUCCUUCCCUUUUGCUGAGAAAAUCGAAGGUAUUAUUGGAAGCUCGUCAUAUAUUCGUUAUCGUUUUGUUCUUGGUAUUACCAUUUUACCAUUUUAUCAAUUUGUAUUUGUUUCUUGUGAAUUCUUUGAUGAUCAUUUUGUUUUUCGAACUUUGAAAUUAGGUUUUUUUUUUCUUUCCACUCUCUCUUGUUGCAUUCACUGGUUCUUUUCCACUGAAACAGAGCAAAAGUUUCUUUCCCUCAAAAAAAAAUCCAAGGUGCCUGCUGGAUUUCUCUUAGAAAGAAGAAGAAGAAGAAGAAGAGGACAAAAGAAAAAAAAAGAAAAAGAAAGAGAGCAAAUGUGUCCCCUUUGGCCAUUUUCUGCAGGAAAAGAAAAACAAAGGCCUUCUUUCAACAUGACCUUAGUUGAGGGGCUUGUUCCCAGGAUUCCUCCUUGCCUGGGGCUGCAGGGCAGGGAAAUUGCAUUGCCACUUUAGCGGCUCUCUGUACAUUUUCGCCUGAAUGGCUUUGUCCUUGAACCAAAUGCUGCCUGGUUGUUGGCCAGAGAGGAAGUAGUUUGCCAUUUCUGCAACUCUUGCAGGCUGAUGACUCUCUCUCUCUCUCUCUCUCUCUCUCUCUCUCUCUCUCUCUCAAAAUGAGGGACGGAACUUGCAAAAUCGCAAAACUGGUGGAUUUUUUAUGCAAAUUGGCCUUUCUUCAACUCUAGAAAUAGACUUUUCUAUUUUUAAUUACCUUUGUAAUUUUAUGGAUUCUUUACAUGCAGAAGAGAGCAAAAGUUUCUUUCAAAAACUAAAAGGCAGGCAACAUGUUCAUAUCGUUAUCGUCGCAGCCGUUACCCUUUUCCCCAUUUUUGGCAAGUUAAAAAAAAAGACUUUGCGACAUGGACUAAGUUGAGGGGCUUAUUUUCAGAAUUUCUCCACCCCUGGGGCUCGAGGAUAGGUGAAUUGCAGCCUCGGUAAAGGGGGUCUCCAUGCAUUUUUACCUAAAUUGCCUUAUUCUAGAACCAAAUUCUGCCUGGUUGUUGGCCAGAGAGGAAGUGGACCUGCAUUUCGGCUACUCUUGUAG
rnacentral:lncRNA from 1 species